rnacentral:rRNA from 1 species
AUUGAACGCUGGCGGCAUGCUUUACACAUGCAAGUCGAACGGUAACAGGCCGCAAGGUGCUGACGAGUGGCGAACGGGUGAGUAAUGCAUCGGAACGUGCCCAGUCGUGGGGGAUAACGCAGCGAAAGCUGUGCUAAUACCGCAUACGAUCUAUGGAUGAAAGCGGGGGACCGUAAGGCCUCGCGCGAUUGGAGCGGCCGAUGUCAGAUUAGGUAGUUGGUGGGGUAAAGGCUCACCAAGCCAACGAUCUGUAGCUGGUCUGAGAGGACGACCAGCCACACUGGAACUGAGACACGGUCCAGACUCCUACGGGAGGCAGCAGUGGGGAAUUUUGGACAAUGGGCGCAAGCCUGAUCCAGCAAUGCCGCGUGCAGG